ACAGAAACAUCCUUGACAGCUGUUAAAGACAGCUAUGCAGUGCCUCUAGCCAGGUUCACUCUGGAUGGUUUUGACUAUGGACAAGUCGGACUCCCAGUGUUCACCUGAAGAGACUCUCUCUCUCUUGGGUUUCUCCUCUGUCUUCAAGUCCCCCGUUUCUUCACUUGGCGCGCCCUCUAGUGGUGGUAUAAAUCAACAAGCCGACUCCAAAACUCCUGCUUUACGU